AACGAACGCUGGCGGCAUGCCUAACACAUGCAAGUCGAACGAGACCUUCGGGUCUAGUGGCGCACGGGUGCGUAACGCGUGGGAACCUGCCCUUAGGUUCGGAAUAACUCCCCGAAAGGGGUGCUAAUACCGGAUAAUGUCUUCGGACCAAAGAUUUAUCGCCUUUGGAUGGGCCCGCGUUGGAUUAGCUAGUUGGUAGGGUAAAAGCCUACCAAGGCGACGAUCCAUAGCUGGUCUGAGAGGAUGAUCAGCCACACUGGGACUGAGACACGGCCCAGACUCGACAGGGAGGAAGCGGUGGAGAAUCGCCGACGGGGGUAAGACGGACGAGCGUGCGCAGCGGGGUUCGUGAGGACGCCCUCAGGGUUGGAAUCUGCUGCUACGGGGGAAGAAAACGACAGCGCAGGGAGAAGAGGCUCCCGCACCCGCAGCGCAAGGAGCCGCGGUAAUAGCAGGAAGCGCCCCCUCCCCAAC
rnacentral:rRNA from 1 species